rnacentral:rRNA from 1 species
GAUGAACGCUGGCGGCGUGCUUAACACAUGCAAGUCGAACGGAAAGGCUCCUGCUUGCAGGGGUACUCGAGUGGCGAACGGGUGAGUAACACGUGGGUGAUCUGCCCUGCACUUCGGGAUAAGCCUGGGAAACUGGGUCUAAUACCGGAUAGGACGAUGGUUUGGAUGCCAUUGUGGAAAGUUUUUCGGUGUGGGAUGAGCUCGCGGCCUAUCAGCUUGUUGGUGGGGUAAUGGCCUACCAAGGCAUCGACGGGUAGCCGGCCUGAGAGGGUGUACGGCCACAUUGGGACUGAGAUACGGCCCAGACUCCUACGGGAGGCAGCAGUGGGGAAUAUUGCACAAUGGGCGCAAGCCUGAUGCAGCGACGCCGCGUGGGGGAUGACGGCCUUCGGGUUGUAAACUCCUUUCGCUAGGGACGAAGCGCAAGUGACGGUACCUGGAGAAGAAGCACCGGCUAACUACGUG